GACGAACGCUGGCGGCGUGCUUAACACAUGCAAGUCGAGCGGUAAGGCCCUUUCGGGGGUACGACGAGCGGCGAACGGGUGAGUAACACGUGGGUGACCUGCCCUCAGCUCUGGGAUAAGCCUGGGAAACCGGGUCUAAUACUGGAUAUGACUCCAUGACGCAUGUUGGUGGGGUGGAAAGCCUUGUGCGGCUGAGGAUGGGCCCGCGGCCUAUCAGCUUGGUUGGUGGGGUGANGGCCUACCAAGGCGACGACGGGUAGCCGGCCUGAGAGGGCGACCGGCCACACUGGGACUGAGACACGGCCCAGACUCCUACGGGAGGCAGCAGUGGGGAAUCUUGCGCAAUGGGCGAAAGCCUGACGCAGCGACGCCGCGUGAGGGAUGACGGCCUC
rnacentral:rRNA from 1 species